UACGGGGGGGGGCAAGCGUUGUUCGGAAUUACUGGGCGUAAAGGGCUCGUAGGCGGCCAACUAAGUCGGAUGUGAAAUCCCCAGGCUUAACCUGGGAACUGCAUCCGAUACUGGAUGGCUUGAAUCCGGGAGAGGGAUGCAGAAUUCCAGGUGUAGCGGUGAAAUGCGUAGAUAUCUGAAGGAACAUCAGUGGCGAAAGCGACUUCCUGGACCAAUACUGACGCUCAUGUGCGAAAGCGUGGGGGAGCAAACAGG
rnacentral:rRNA from 1 species